UGGGCUGUUUUUUUGUUCUUUCUGGUAUGAAACGUCAUUGGCAAACGUCAUCUUAAAAAAACCCAGAAAAAUGGCAACUGCGACAGAUAAUUUUCUUCCAGAAGCGCUGUUCAAGUUCGACCACUUGGAGACACGGGUGCAGAAGCACCUGAAGAAAGUUUAUGGCACCCUCUCUAUCUCAAUGCUGGCUGCUGCUGCAGGUGCCUAUGUCCACCUCUUCACUGGAAUCAUCAGUGCAGGAUUGUUGACUGCUCUUGGUUCUAUUGGUAUGAUGAUUUGGUUAGCUGCGACAAGCCAUACCAAGGAGAAUGAACAGAAGAGACUUGCCAUCUUUAUUGGCUUUACAUUCCUUUCAGGAGUGUCCCUUGGUCCGCUACUUGACAUGGUUAUCCAGAUUGAUCCAAGCAUAAUCACUACAGCAUUGAUGGGAACAUGCCUGAUAUUUAUCAGUUUCUCGCUUGCUGCCCUCUACAAUACCAACAGGACAUAUCUCUACUUCGGAGGUAUGCUGUUGUCAGCUUUGUCCUGGAUGUGCCUGCUCACCUUGAUGAAUAUCUUCUUCAGAUCCAAGAUGAUCUAUGAUCUAAAUCUUUACGGUGGCCUGGUAAUUUUCUGUGGCUUUGUUCUGUAUGACACACAGCUGAUCAUUGAGAAGGCAAGGCGUGGUGAUGACGACUAUAUCUGGCAAUGUGUUGAUCUGUUCCUUGACUUCAUCAACAUUUUCCGUCGCCUCCUAAUCAUCCUUGCAAAUAAGGAGGGGAACAAGAAGAAGAGGAAGGAUUAAGGACAGUGACAUGCAACAGCAGGCAGUGUAUCUGUACACUUACAUGUUCUAAUAGACAUUCUUGUUUUAACAAAGUUUCAACAUCACUUUUGAUUUGGUACAAUAUUUUUUAUUAAGAAAAAUCAUAGAAUACUGUGUGCCAAAUAGAGAACGAUCCACUGGAGUCCAGUAGUAUAUAAUGAUUUCUUCUGUUGUGGAAACAAAUAUUCUUUUUUUUUUUGCUGUUGUAUUUUCAUUGUGAUUUUUUUUUGUAUAACAGUUUUAACACUGUUUCUUGUUUAAGGUGUGCUUCUUAUCCUUUAUGUUAUUUAUAUGAAAUAUUUUAAUAAAUACAUUUUCAGUAGAUUAUUUGAGCCAUUUUAUUUAAAAAAAAAUUCAGUAUUCUGCUGUAUGUGACAAAAGAUGUUUUGUGUAUUCAACAUUUUGAUUUUUAGCUUAGGUGGGUGGUCCAGCAUCCAUCAUCCUUUGUCAGUCUUAUUGCAUCAACAUUUUUAGCUCAUCUGAUUCUUUGAGAGAAAAAAAUGAGUUAUUGUCAUCACUUGAUCGGCGUUGGAGUUGCCUCAGGUUAAGUUUCAUGUUUAGGUCAGCUUUUCUCUGAAAGUAUGAAAGCUAUUGCUUUAAAACUUGCAACACUUGUUCACCAUCAAUAACAUAACUCUGUCCUGCUUUUUGCCCCCUUUUGGACUUAGGAAAUAUCAGAUUUCUUGGUUAAGUUUUGCAUUUAGGUCAACUUUUCUCUUUAACUGUCAAAGCUAUUGCUUUAAAACUUAUUUGCCAUUAAAAGCUGACGUGGCACAGCAAGUACCGUAACUCUGCAUUGCUUUUUUGCAAGAAUUAUGGCCCCUUUUGGACAUAGAAAAUGAUUUUCCUUAAGGACAAUAUUUCUAUUAUACAGAGACAAAAAAAUCAGAUGAGUGCUGCACCUGCAAGGCGGUGCUCAUGUUACUUAAACAUCUCCUCUGAAACUAUCCGUCACAAUUACACCAGACUUUGUCAGUAACAUCUUGGCAUGGACCUCCAUCAGAUUUGUUCAAAUGGAUCACUUUGGCUCCUUUUAGGGGCCACCAAAGCUUAAAAGUUCCUCACAAAAGUCUGUUCAAAUGAGGGCAGUUAGCCAGCCCCCUUUUAGGGGCUGCAAGAGCUUAGGACAGAAAUAUUGCAUAUCUUUUCAUGAACUACUGGGUGGAUCUUCAUCAAACUUUUUCUGUAUCAUUAUAAGGUCAUCUCCCAAGUUUGUUUAAAUGGGGAUGCUUGGUCUCUUUUACAUACAUGUUAAGUUUCCCGGAUCGUCCGGGAGUCUCACAGAUUUUUGGUCAAUCCCUGGGACAUACGGAAAUCAAUUAUUUCUCCCGGAAAUCCAAAAUUCCAGGCUAAUGGAAAAGGAAAAACUUUAAAAAUCUUCUUGUCCAAAACCACAGGGCCUAGGGCUUUGAUAACUGGUGUGUAGCAUCAUCUCAUGGUCCUCUACCAAAAUUGUUCCAAUUAUCUCCCUAGGGUCAAAUAUGGCCCCGCCCGGGGGUCACAUGGUUUAUAUAGACUUAUAUAGGGAAAACUUUGAAAAUCUUCUUGUACAAAACCACAUGGCCUAGGGCUUUGAUAUUUGGUGUGUAGCAUCAUCUAGAGGUCCUCUACCAAGAUUGCUCAAGUUAUCCCCCUAGGGUCAAAUGUGGCCCUGCCGCAGGGGUCCCAAGUUUUACAUAGACUUAUAUAGGAAAAAAAAGUUUAAAAAUCUUCUUGUCUGAAACCACAACACUUAGACCUUUGAUAUUUGGUUUGUAGCAUUGUCUUAUGGUCCUCAACCAAAAUUAUUCAAAUUGUACCCCUUGGGUGAAAAGAGGCCCUGCCCUGGGGGUCCCAAGUUUUAUAUAGACUUAUAUAGGAAAAAAAUUUAAAAAUCUUCUUGUCUGAAACCAUACAACCUAGGCUUUUGAUAUUUGGUAUGCUGCAUUGUCUAGUAGUCCUCUACCAAAAUUGUUCAAAUUAUGCCCCUGGGGUUAAAAGAGGCCUCACCCUGGGGUCACUUAGUUAUUAUGCGAGUUAUUUAGGAAAAAUACUUAAAAAAUCAUCUGAUCCUAUUUCCAAGACUGUUUAAUUAUAAUUACCUGAUGACCCCAAGUAAUAUGAUGUCACUUGACUGUGACCUUGACCUACUGACCUACUUUCUUGUUUUUUAAGAUACAGCCUUGAAAUUUUGAUGACAUACACAGUUUUGCACACAAAUCGUAAAACUGAAUCUGAUUGACCAUGAAUUUGACCUACUGACUUUCUUAAUAUAGAGAUAGGCCCUAAAAUUUUCAAUGAUAGAAUUACAUUAAAUAAAGUCUAGAAAUUAAUUUCCAAGUCCUUGAAAUAACCAAAAAUGAUUUUACAAAUGUGAAGUUUAUGAUAGUUUUGUUAAUAUCAAUAACAGAAGUUUUAAUUUUUAAUUUAAAGUUGUGAUCCACAAAGAAUGACAACUCUUGCCUUGGGCUAGUACUUAUAAGUAGAGAUCUAUUAGUUUACUUCCCUUGCAAUUACACAAUUGAGUGGAAAAUGAAAACUGUUUAAGACACAACAUCAUACUUUUUUGCACAACAAAAUCAUUAAGGAUUUAUUCAUUUGUGUUUGAUUUACCCCUCAAGACAUGGUUCCUAUGAUUCUGUCAACUUAAAUAUGGUAAAAAAUUAACUUUUAACAAGCCAAUAAUAAAACGAAGUACCAGUAGGUAAAUAAUAGUGCAGAUAAUACAGUUUUGCUUGUAUCAAAAUGUCACAAUAGAUCCACUUUUGUAAUACAGAACACCUGAUAGGAUUAGUAAAGGUGCAAUUAUAUUGAUCUCUAUUUCCUAUGCCUACUUAAUAUUUUAUCAUCAGUUUGACAUUUGAAACAUGUAGCUCAUAUUACUCAUUUGAGCGAUCAAGGGUCAUCAUGACCCUCUUGUUUGUCAAUUGGGGACGCUUAGAUAUAUAUCGGUAUAUCUCACUUGAAGUAUGGUUAUUGUUUUUGAUGACUACUUUAAAACUAAACUGCUCUCUAGAACAAUUUUGUUUCUGUGUUAAAUUUUUGUAUUCAAAUAACAGGAGUGUGUAUAUAUAUAUAUAUAUAUAUCUAUUCAAAUAUCAGAAUGCUAAAUUUUCAACAUUUUUUAGUACAAAUCACACCUUAUUGUAAAUGUAGAAGUUGUUGGUUGUAGACAGUUAUCAGUUUUAACGAUAUGGUAUGAUAAAGUUAUUAAAUCUGAAUAUAUUCUGAUACCUGUUGAUGUCUUGGUUAGUACUCCAUUAUUUAGUUACAUUCAUCUGUUUUUAUCUAUUAUUUUUGCUAUUUGAAAGUGAAAGUUUGUGCAAACUUUGGUAAGGUAUUAAAUCAGCCAAAUUUCUUUAGGAUGUUUGUGUAAAUCUUAAUAAAUUGACAGUGGUGCAGACAAAAAAGGUGUGAAAAGCUGUCAACUGAGCAAGAUAAUUAGCUAGUAAAAGGCAUCUCAGAUCAUGAUUAUUACACUCUGUGGGGAAUAAAUAUUACUCUGCACAUUGAUUAUCAAUAUCAACAGAACAGGUCAUAGAUUCUACACAAAAUCUAUCCAAAUAACAGGAAAACUUUAAUUGGAAUUAUAUAGAUAUUGAUUGAUACUUUGUAUCCAAAUAAGUGGAAUAUUCCAAUAAUCAGUAUUCAAGUAAGUGGAAUCUACUGUAUAUACCUUUUUAGCUCAUGAUGAGGUAUUGUGAUCACGCUGUGUCUGUCAUGCGUCUGUCAGUCAUCAACAAUUGUGUUUAAACACCAUCUCCUCUAAAACCACUGAAUGGAUUUUGAAGAAACUUGGCCAUGAUGUUCCUUAUGUGAUCCACUACCAAAGUUGUUCAAACGGUUCUGCUUGAUUGCACAUAGGGGCUGCCAGAGCUAAAAAUAGAAAAAAACUUCAAACGACAUCUCCUUCUAAACCAAUGGUACAAUUUUUAAAUAAGUUCACACAAAUGGUCCUUAUGUCACCCUUUACCAAGAUAGUUCAAAUUAUUCCAAUUCGUCAAAAAACAUGGCCACCAGGAGGUGUGGUCACCUUUCCCUAUAUGUAUAUUAUAGUGGAAACUUUAAAAAUCUUCUUGUGUGAAACUCUUAGCCCGAUUUUAAAAUAAUUUAAUAAAAAUGGUCCUUGUGUGACCCUCUACCAAGAUUAUUCAAAUUAUUUGGAUUCGUCAAAAAACAUGGUGGCCAGGGGGCAUGGUCACUUUUCCCUAUAUAUAUAUAUAGUGGAAAUUUUUAAAAAAUCUUCUGUGAAACUGCUGGCCCGAUUUUAAAAUAAUUUUGCACAAAUGGUCCAUGUGUGACCCUUUACCAAGAUUGUUGAAACUAUACUGAUUUGUCAAAAAACAUGGCUGCCAGGGGGCGUGGUCACUUUUUCCUAUAUAUAUAUAUAUAGUAGAAAUUUUAAAAAUCUGCUUGUGUGAAACUGCUGGCCCGAUAUAAAAAAUAAUUUUACACAAAUGGUCCUUAUGUGACCCUUUCACAAGAUUGUUCAAAUUAUUCCGAUUCGUCAAAAAACAUGGCUGCCAGGGGGCGUGGUCACUUUUCCCUAUAUGUAUAUAGUAGAAACUUAGAAAAGUUUCUUGUAUAAAACUGUUAGCCCAAUUUUAAAAUAAUUUCACACAAAUGGUCCUUGUGUGACCUUCUACAAAUAGUGUUCAAAAUUUUUUGAUUCUUUAAAAAACAUGGACGCCAGAGGGCGUGGUCACUUCUCAUCAACACAUCUCCUCCAAAACCACUGAAUGGAUUUUGAUGAAACUUUACACAAAUGAUCUCUGGGUAGCCCUCUUUUAAAGUUGUUCAAUGGUUCUGGUUCCUUGAACAUAUGGGUCUUUUUGGUUAGAAAUAGGUUUUCAGCUAUCAGACUAUAGAAGUCUUUCUCUGUAGAGCUUUGAUAUUUGGCAUGUGAUAUAAGGGUGUGACUCUCUACCAUAAUUGUCCAAAUUAUUACCUGAAGGUAAAAAAUGACCCUGCCCCUGUGUGUGACAUGUACUUACUGUAGGCUUAUAUAUAAGAAACUUUGAAAAUCUUCCCCGAAUCAAUAAUAGGUAGAGUCUUGAUAUUUGGCAUUGUGAUGUCAACCAUAACUGUUCAAAUUAUUGCCCUAAGUACAAAAAUGUUAGUGACAUGUAUAUAAUAUACUUUUAUUAUGCUAACAUAGAAGAAACCUAACUUUGUACUUGUACCAGUAUGUUACACAAACACACUUGAAGCCUUGUAAACAGGUGAGUGUUUUAGGGUCAAUGACCCUCUUGUUACAGUGUUUGUUACUUGUACCACACUAUCUCCAUUCUACAGGUAUCAAUCAGUAAAAUAUUGUUACAAUGAAAUUUUUAAGCGUAUUUGUUUUUAAAACUUUUAAUCAGUCUACUAGUGACUUUAUCCUAUCAGAGCGUUUUGAUAUAUAUUACUUUAUCAAAAGUCCAGAUAUAUUUGGCAGACUUUGAAUAAUGGUCCAUUCAUAAAAUUAAGAUUCUAACAAAGGUUCAUUCGGUAAAUUGAUUUAAUUUAUUCCAGAGAUAAAAAGCUGUGAUUUUAGAAUUUCUAACCGUGUAUCAGAGAAAAAAGUUGUGAUUUUAACAUUUCUAACCUUGCAUCUGUCAUUUUAAUCUGUUUAAUUAUGUCUCCCACCACACAGUGGUGUGAGAGACAUUUUGAUUUACUCCUGUCUGUUUGUCUGUCUGUCACAAAGCUUGUCCGCACUCCAAGUCGAACAUUUCUCAUCCGAUCUUCACCAAACUCGAACAAAAUGUGUUUGACCAUAAGACCUCGGCCAAGUUCGAUAACUAGCCAACUUGGCUAAGGCACUUCGGAAUUAUGGCCCUUGAACAUAGUUACCAACACUACCGGUGCAGCAUUGUAGACUGGUUACUCCAACACUACCGAUACAGCAUUGUAGACCGGUUACUCCAACAUGUGAAUACCAAUAGGCCACAAACAGUAUAAAAAUACAGACUUACUAUUCAGAUGAUUAGGCAGUUUGUGGGAGACAUGCGCUUUUCUCAAAAGCACCUCUAGCUUAUUUAGAAUAUUCAUAGCAUUAUUAUCCUUCCUUUCUCUUGCUUUGCAGCUGUAGAAAUGAUUUUAAAAAUUUGUAUUUAUUGUUAUGCCCCCCCCCCCCCCCUUGAAGAAGGAUGGAUAUAUUGUUUUGCAGAUGUCUGUCGGUAUGUAGACCAAUCCGUUUCAGGAUGAUAACACAAGAAUGCUUGGGUCUAGGAUCAUGGAAGUUGAUGGGAGGUUGGUCAUGACCAGUAGAUAACCCUUAUUGAUAUUGAGGUCAGUAUGUCAAAGGUCAAGGUCACAUUGACCAGGAACAGUUAAAUAGUUUCCAGACAAUAACUUGAGAACGCUUGGGCCUAGGAUCAUGAGACUUCAUAGGGAGUUUGAUCAUGACCAGCAGAUGACAGCUAUUGAUUUUGAGGUCAGUAGGUCAAAGGUCACAUUGAUGCAGAACAGUAGAACUUUUUUGCCAAAUAACUAGAGAAUGUUUUGGUUUAAGAUCCCAUUUGAUACAGAGGUCACUUAUGACUGGUAAAUGACCAAUAAUUAUUGAUUUCAGGUCAGUAUGUCAAAUGUCCAAUGCACAGUGACCAAAUGAUUUCUGUUCCUUGUGCAGUUACUGAAUGCAUCAUGGGGGGCAUUUCGUGUUCUGCGAGCUCUUGUUGACCCACAUUGUGCGAAUCAUAAGAAAACUAUGAAUGAAAAUUUUGGAAAUAUUUAAUUGAAUUAAAGCUUUAAACUGUUUGCUUUUUCUUCCUGUCAGAUUUCAUAACACAUUGUUAUUCCACUCUGAUAUUCUGUAAUAAAGUUUUUUUAUCCAAA